CGGGCGGUGCCCAUUGGUGGGUUCCAGGAGGGGCGGGGCUUGGCCUCAUCCUUCUGCUUGGGGCUGGUGGGAGCCUUGCACCUCCUGGGGGUCGCUGCGCUGGGGCCGCCUUUUGUAGGGGUUUGAGUCAGUGGCUCUCCUUCCCAUCUUUUAUUUUUCACCUCUUCUUUCUUUUUUCACUUAUAGAAAAAUAUUAAGGCCAUUUUAUUUAUUUAUUUUAUUUUUGCAACGACUGCUCAGGAAGUUCUCCACUGGGCAGGAUGGUUUUUUCACCCCUUCGGUUUCUCAUUUGAAACCUCUGGGGUUGCCUUCCGAAUCGCUGCAGCGUGCCCGGGAAGGCUCCCGGUCGAGCAUCGCCACCCUCAGCGCUGCGCCUCGACGGCUGUGGCCGCCAUCAAAUGUUGACGUGUCUUUAGCUUUCGAGGAAAGGGAGCGUAGCGCGGGAGCCCCGAACCUGAGGGGUGUCACGGCGUUAAGACGGAUGAGCGGUAUAGCCUUCGCUACCUCUGGGUGCUUGCUUCAGUGCUUUAUUUCCAUAUGAAAGGAAAGCAUGGGGGGUGUUGUACACGUUUUGUAGUAACCGGAGUGAUCAGGUCUGACUUUGGCCUUGUUUGAAGCUUAGCUUUGUCACCUCAGGUUUGUUGGGUUGUUUGUUUAUUUUUUUCAACUUGAGUUUGCAGAGUAGCUAGAGUUGUGGAAACGGUUGCGUGUACCCUAAAGCUUUCGAGGCACUGGAUCUCGAGUAUAAUUAAAAACGAAGAGAAUCGGACUUCCUACCCGAGCUAUGCUGUGACACAGUCCAGUGAUGAUGGGUUGAUCUUUCAUUGCUCGGUAGGGCCCUGGGCUGACUUCUUGGAGCGGAGUGGAGGCAACUGACAUGUUACUUAAGCGCCAGCCUUGUAAAUUCAGUCAAAUGUGUAACUGUGUGUGAGCAGUCUUGUUGAUUCAGACGUCUCUCAUGGUGGAAAGCUUAUUUUCAUAGCGUUGUACUGGUUCAACUAAAUAAGUGUAAAAGGCUAUGCAGGUGUAUUUAUUUUUUGCUUAAACUGGUUUGUUUAUUUUUCUAGACCUGCUAGUUUAGCAACUAGGAGACCUAUAUCUAUAUCUAUAUCUAUAUCUAUAUAUAUAGGAGACCUAUAUGUAUCAGAAUCCUAUCCAUCCAUCUAUCUAUCCACCAGGAGAUCUAUAAAAUACAGGUAUAGAUAUAGAUAGGUGGAUAGUCUCCUGGUGAAUAGAUGGAUAGGAUUCUGAUGUUAUCACGUGUGUGUGGGAGUGAGAGCCUUGAACACGUGCCUGUGCCUCAGUCCAACCUGCCCAAGGGUGAAUUUGAACCCAUUGACAUGCAGCCAAGUUUGAGGAGCCCAAAACAGCUCAGGUAAUCAUGAGCUUCUGCAUAAUCUGCUGUAGUUAGUAUCUCAUUCUGCCUUUUUCAGGGGGAGGAGCUUGGCUUUGGAGUAAACCUUCAGUGUAUGUAUCGCCACUUUCUUUUUUCCAACUGAGACUACUUGGCAUAAGGAUGGAAGUGACAACUGAUUCCUGAGUUUCUUUGUAAAUGUUGCUGAAUGACAAAACCAUUUGCCUCCUUGAUGUUUUGAGAUUUCUUUCUUGGUUCUCUUUAGGGUGCUGCACCUACUAUUCUAAUUUAGGAUGAUGUGUCUUCUUGUAGAGCAACCCAGCCUGCAAUCCAGGCUACUCUAGGGCAGAUCAUCUUAAAAACAUAUUUUUACCCUCCACAAAAUUAAUUUGCAAAGGUGGUAAUGCAGUAAAAUCAAGAGGAAAAAAUUAGAUUGAUUUUCUCCUCUUUGUAACAAGAAAAGAGCAAAUGUUACAGAAUAAUUUUGUGGUCAUGGUAAACAGAAAGUAAAAUAGAAUUGGUAUGUGGAGUUUAAGGUUUCAGUCCAGUGCUUUUUGAAGUCAGUAAAGCAGUUAUCUUUCCUGCUUGGUGCAGUGGGCUGGCCCGAUGAUCUUCCGAGGUCCCUUCCAGCCUUGCAAUCUAUGGAACAAUAUGAAACGAUAAAGCCGUUCUAUUGUUUGAGGCCCUGAACCAGACCUUUUAAGCAAACCUUUGUAUGGUUAUGAGGUCAGGUAAAAAAAUAGGUGCUUCUUACGCAGCGGGAAUUCACUAUUUUGAGUGUGUUUUCUAGCCACUCAGUUGUCUUGCUGCUUGUAGUGACAGCUAUUUUAAAUAGUCCAAGCUGAAGUUUAUGAGCUUGUGAAAUGCACCCAACGGCUGUGGGAAUUAUAAUACAAUCUCUGUAUAUCGCUAAAUCCUUAGACAUAGUGUUUGUUUGUAUUUUCUAAUUCAUUGGUUUUACAUUUUCACUUGUCACAAAUAGAGACUUCUUAGAACAAUUUAAAACCUUCACAAUACAAAUAAAUUUACACCCCUAGGAACAGGCUUGCCCCACUGGUGAAUAUUAUGUUCUAGCCACACAGGAUAUUAAUAUAUUCAUAUCCCACAUUUUUUAGUUCAUAUCCAAAUAGGUCUCACUUUUCACUUCACUACAAAUUCUACAGCUGGCACCUUAAGGUUAAAAUCUGAGACAAUAGAGAGGCCUUGGACCAUGCCCAAGCCAAGAAACUAAGGACUUGUAGAGACUCGGAUGAAGAGUAUAUCCAUAAACACCUGUUUAUAAAAAACAGACCUAACUGCAAGGUGUGCAGCCGCAUCUUGGCAGUCCUUGACUGCCUGUGGCAGGUAAUGCAAAUUAGAACAGCCUCCAGGAUAACAGGGACUUGCAGAGUCCUUUUUGGGCCUGACAUUUGCUACAUCACAAACUCCACUGUCAGCAUCACAGAGGACCUGAAUCCAUGUUAUUUAUUAUUUGUAACCAUCAGACCCCACUGAAUAAGUUGUUGUAAACAGUCCUUCUGGGCUGUUGGAGCAAUUUGAUUUUUGGUCUUCGGCCUGUAUUCAAAGGCUGUGGUUAUUUCACAACAACCACACCCCCUCUCGUGUGUUGUUUCUUACAUAACAUAUCUACUGUUUGGGGAAAAAAAAAGAUCAUGUUUUCAUAUGCCGAUUGCCAGAUCCUGCUAGUUUCAUUAUUAUUAUUAUUAUUGACACCAAGUUGAGUUUUAUUUCUGUAUGGAUCUGGGAGGUCUUGGGCCCAGUUUCGGCACUCUUCUUUUGAGUAAGAGCUGAUUGGUUGGUUGCUCCCACCCCUCCUCUACAGUCUUUUAAUGCAAGUUUUGUUUGCAACCUUCUUCUCUUACCCACUUCUCCUCUUCUCUCCUCCAAAUACCUGGGAACUAACAUUCCCCUGCCCUGUUUCCCUUUCCUUUCUACUAUUAACUAAACUUGCCCCCAAAAGCCUGGGAGCUAACUUGCCAUUCACUGCCAUCACAGUGUUCACUCUCUCUGGUGUAAAUUAUCCUUUUUCUCCCAUUCUGUGUCUGUCUUGCCUAUUUAGAAGCUCUUCAGGGCAAUAACUGUGAUUAUUCAUUGCUUUGGAACAUGAGGCCCCAUUCUUGGUAGACCUCCAGGCACAGCUGUAAUAAAUAUGUUCAAUAAUAUCACCAGUAUGCAAGUUGUUCCAUUAAUUUACUAGGACUAUUCAUAGAUGAAGCUUUACUCUAAAUGGCAAAGUUGGCCUUCUAUGAUGCACAGAUUUCAGAUAAAGGAAGACAAGUGAUAAAGUAGCAGUGAUUGUAUGACUUCUAAUGCUAGCUUCUUUAGAAGUUAUCCAAUCAUUGCUACUUUAGGUCUUUUCUUCCUUUAGCUGAAAUCUGUUACUCAAUAUUCUAAUUUUGAAAUCAGUAUUAACAGUGCCAAAUAUUCAGAGCACAUUUCUAGAGGCACAGGUUUAUCCACACCCAGUUUCCAGGCAUGCAAGUUCCAAGGUUGAUUGAGCACAUGUAAACUAUAUCUGUCUCUUUACUUUGAAUCCCCUUGCUUUGGCAAAUUUAAUUUGAAGGGGGAUAAUGAGUUACAUUUACAAAUAUGUUGGAAGAGCUUCUUCCACACAUGAGAGCAGCCCUGGAAAAAGGAGAAAAGUGUUCAAAUAGCUGAUGUGGGCAAGGGAACCAGGUAUCCUGGGAUUCAUUGGAGGUGAGAAUUAGCCUUUGGGAGCUAGAUGGGAGAUUGUAAGUAGGAUAAAAUUAUACCAAGAAGGACCUUGAAAUGGGACAUGAGUAGCUUAUGUCUGAGGUGAUAAACAAGGAGCCUCUAGCUCAGGGGUGGGCAAAAUGGGGCCCAGGGACCGGAUGCAACCUACUAGGCCAUUCUAUCUGGCUCACGGGGCCCCCCAAAAAUUUAGAAAAUUAAUAUUUAACUGCACCUGGCUGCCUAUCAUACCCUCGAUGGCUUGCCAAAACUCAGUAAGUGGCCCUCCGCCUAAAAUAAUUGCCUGCCCCUGCUCUAGCUGAAAAGAAAGACAAGUGACACAGUCAGAGCAAUGAGUUAGGAAGAUAAUUGGUGUGCCCGCGGUAAUUUGAAUAGAGCUUUUGCCCCAUUCAUUUAUCAAGACUAGAGAAAAGAAAAUGGUAGUAAUUGAGAUACAAGUUGGUGAGAGCCCAGACAUGUUUUAGGCGGGCCAAACCUACCAUGGAGCUGAGGAUGGCAACCCAAGUAAAAGACAACAAGAAAUUGUUUUUUAGAUGUAUUGGGAGUAAAAGGAAGGCCCAGGGAGGAAUAGGACCCCUGCUAAAUGGGCAGAAACAAUUGGUGACAGACAGGGGGGACAAGGCUGAACUCCUCAACGAGUUCUUUGCCUCAGUGUUCCUAAGCGAGGGGCACGACAAGUCUCUCACUGGGGUUGUAGAGAGGCAGCAGCAAGGCGCCAGACUUCCAUGCGUAGAUCCUGAGGUGGUGCAGAGUCACUUGGAAGAACUGGAUGCCUUUAAGUCGGCAGGCCCGGAUGAGCUCCAUCCGAGGGUGCUGAAGGCACUGGCCGACAUCAUUGCAGAGCCACUGGCGGGAAUAUUCGAACGCUCGUGGCGCACGGGCCAAGUCCCGGAGGACUGGAAAAGGGCUAACGUGGUCUCCAUUUUCAAAAAGGGGAGGAAGGAGGACCUGGGCAACUAUAGGCCAGUCAGUCUCACCUCCAUCCUUGGUAAAGUCUUUGAAAAAAUUAUCAAGGCUCACAUUUGUGAGAGCCCGGCAGGGCAAAUUAUGCUGAAGGGAAACCAGCACGGGUUUGUGGCGGGCAGAUCGUGCCUGACCAAUCUAGUCUCUUUCUAUGACCAGGUUACGAAAUGCCUGGACACAGGAGGAGGGGUGGAUGUCGUAUACUUGGACUUCAGGAAGGCCUUCGAUACGGUAUCCCACCCCAUACUGGUGAACAAGUUAAGAGGCUGUGAUGUGGAUGACUGCACAGUCCGGUGGGUGGCAAAUUGGCUAGAGGGUCGCACCCAAAGAGUCGUGGUGGAUGGGUCGGUCUCGACCUGGAAGGGUGUGGGCAGUGGGGUCCCGCAGGGCUCGGUCCUUGGACCGAUACUCUUCAAUGUCUUCAUCAGCGACUUGGACGAGGGAGUCAAAUGUACUCUGUCCAAGUUUGCAGAUGACACAAAGCUAUGGGGAGAAGUGGACACGCCGGAGGGCAAGGAACAGCUGCAGGCAGACCUGGAUAGGUUGGACAAGUGGGCAGAAAACAACAGGAUGCAGUUCAACAAGGAGAAAUGCAAAGUGCUGCACCUAGGGAGGAAAAAUGUCCAGCACACCUACAGCCUAGGGAAUGACCUGCUGGGUGGCACAGAGGUGGAAAGGGGUCUUGGAGUCCUAGUGGACUCCAAGAUGAACAUGAGCCAGCAGUGUGACGAAGCCAUCAGAAAAGCCAAUGGCACUUAAUCGUGCAUCAGCAGAUGCAUGAUGAAUAGGUCCAGGGAGGUGAUACUUCCCCUCUAUAGGGCGCUGGUCAGACCGCAGUUGGAGUACUGCGUGCAAUUCUGGGCACCACAUUUCAAGAAGGAUGCGGAUAACCUGGAGAGGGUCCAGAGAAGGGCCACUUGUAUGGUCAAGGGCUUGCAGACCAAGGCCUAUGAGGAGAGACUAGAGAAACUGGACCUUUUCAGCCUCCGCAAGAGAAGGUUGAGAGGCGACCUUGUGGCUGCCUUUAAGUUCAUCACGGGGGCACAGAAGGGAAUUGGUGAGUAUUUAUUCGCCAAGGCGCCCCCAGGGGUUACAAGAAACAAUGGCCACAAGCUAGCAGAGAGCAGAUUUAGAUUGGACAUUAGGAAGAACUUCUUCACAGUUCGAGUGGCCAAAGUCUGAAACGGGCUCCCAAGGGAGGUGGGGCUCUCCCCGACCCUGGGGGUCUUCAAGAGGAGGUUAGAUGAGUAUCUAGCUGGGGUCAUCUAGACCCAGCACUCUUUCCUGCUUAUGAAGGGGGUCGGACUCGAUGAUCUAUUGAGGUCCCUUCCAACCCUAACAUCUCUGAAUCUAUGAAUCUAUGUUUUGACUUCAUGGGUGGAUAAUAAAGGUCCUAUCUUAGAGAUGUUGCACAGAAAGAAAUGAGCAAGACCUAGGUAUGGCCUGGAUACGAGACCAAGUAGAGCAAGGGCCAAACUGAAAAUGAUGUUGGCGCUAUGAGGUGGAAUGACAAGUAGGGUAGUAACAGCAUCUAGUGAUUAAGAGAGGAGAUGGGUGAAGGGCAUGGGAAGGAAGAUUAAGAGCUUGUUAGCCACGUUGAUCUUGAACCGAUGGCUAGAUCUCCACAGAGGAGUGUCAGAGAAGCAGGCCAAGAUUUUUAGAUUUGACAGAUGGAGAAUAUCUAAAACAGGGCCAUUCAACUGGUAACCUAUGGGCCGCAUAGUUAAUGUGCAGCGCCUGGGCUACCACCUAGUCACUACCUGCACUUUCAGUCUGGUCGGUGCUGCAGUCUAAGUCCCCUGCCUGCCCCUGACCUUUGCUUCCUGCUCCCAUCCUAAGGGAUGGGGAGAUGCUGCCCGUGUCACUGGAGAAGCCUGCAGCACAGUGCAGCAGGAAAGUCUGGAGCCAGGGAGAGAGAUGAGGUGGGGUUGCUGCUUGCACAUGUGGUGAAGCAGGAGGAUGCCAGGGGCCCGUAUCUCACAUUAGCAUGGCCCCUGGUGCAUACAGCUCCUGCUGGUGUGGCCCACAUAGUGUGUGGCCCCUAGCUCCUUGGACAGUGUACAGACCUGAUCUAAAGUUUAGACAUAAUUCACAGAGAGAGCAGUUGGCUAUUUUAAUGAAUGAGGCUACGAAGAGAAGAGGAGAGGAGAAGAGAACCCUUUGCGACCUCACAGAAAGAUGUAGGAGAGACGUGGAGGAUCCUCCAAACUUCCAAAGAAUCAAAUUAUUAGAAAUGGAUGAAGAAGACAAGGAGAAGACAGAAGCCAAGGAAGGGCAAGAUUUCAAGAGCCUGGCUGAAGGUGUUGAAGGUGACUGACAUGUCAAGAAAACUUCUGUAAGCAACCACAGGAGAAGGAAAAAUGCCGUCAGAAGCAGAUCAAGAAAUUCAUAGGAAGAAAAAGACAGUCGGGGAAGAAAAAAUGGGACAACAAAAGCUGCAGGGCAAGGCUGACAUCUGCGGAGCAACGGUGACAUCUCGUGGUCUAACAGGAGACAGUAUCCAUACGUGACCAGUCGCUGUGCAGCAGCAACACCGAAAUGGCUGGAGGCGGCUCAGCGCGGCACCGACACCCGCGCGGAUGCAGCUGCUCCGCUCUGCGCCCCGCCCCCUCCGCGCGCUGGGGGCGGGGCGGCUUGGAACGUCCCGCGCCGACCGCCGUAGGGGGGCGGGGCCUCGGGCCGGUGUCGCGUCGCUUAGCAAGCGCGGAGCGCUGCUGAGCGCAGAAGAUUUUUGUGUCUGGCCCUCGCUGUGUGUGAUGGCAGCACUCGUUCCCUCUCGUAUUCUCUGAGCAACGUGUCAAAGCAGGUAGUGAUAUUG